AACGAACGCUGGCGGCAGGCCUAACACAUGCAAGUCGAGCGAGGACUUCGGUCCUAGCGGCGGACGGGUGAGUAACGCGUGGGAACGUGCCCUUUGCUUCGGAAUAGCCCUGGGAAACUGGGAAUAAUACCGGAUGAGCCCUUUGGGGGAAAGAUUUAUCGGCGAAGGAUCGGCCCGCGUUGGAUUAGGUAGUUGGUGGGGUAAUGGCCUACCAAGCCGACGAUCCAUAGCUGGUUUGAGAGGAUGAUCAGCCACACUGGGACUGAGACACGGCCCAGACUCCUACGGGAGGCAGCAGUGGGGAAUCUUAGACAAUGGGGGAAACCCUGAUCUAGCCAUGCCGCGUGAGCGAUGAAGGCCUUAGGGUUGUAAAGCUCUUUCAGCUGGGAAGAUAAUGACGGUACCAGCAGAAGAAGCCCCGGCUAACUCCGUG
rnacentral:rRNA from 1 species